CCUACGGGUGGCAGCAGUGGGGGAUAUUGCACAAUGUGGGAAACCCUGAUGCAGCGACGCCGCGUGUGGGAAGACGGUCCUCUGGAUUGUAAACCACUGUCCCCAGGGACGAAGAUGACGGUACCUGGGGAGGAAGCUCCGGCUAACUACGUCCCAGCAGCCGCGGUAAUACGUAGGGAGCGAGCGUUGUCCGGAAUUACUGGGUGAAAAGGGAGCGUAGGCGGGACUGCAAGUUGGGUGUCAAAUCUACCGGCUCAACCGGUAGCCGCACUCAACACUGCAGUUCUUGAGUGAAGUAGAGGCAGGCGGAAUUCCUAGUGUAGCGGUGAAAUGCGUAGAUAUUAGGAGGAACACCAGUGGCGAAGGCGGCCUGCUGGGCUUUUACUGACGCUGAGGCUCGAAAGUGUGGGGAGCAAACAGGAUUAGAUACCCCUGUAGUC
rnacentral:rRNA from 1 species